rnacentral:rRNA from 1 species
GAUGAACGCUGGCGGCGUGCCUAAUACAUGCAAGUCGAGCGAACAGAUGAGGAGCUUGCUCCUCUGACGUUAGCGGCGGACGGGUGAGUAACACGUGGAUAACCUACCUAUAAGACUGGGAUAACUUCGGGAAACCGGAGCUAAUACCGGAUAAUAUAUUGAACCGCAUGGUUCAAUAGUGAAAGACGGUUUUGCUGUCACUUAUAGAUGGAUCCGCGCCGCAUUAGCUAGUUGGUAAGGUAACGGCUUACCAAGGCAACGAUGCGUAGCCGACCUGAGAGGGUGUUCGGCCACACUGGAACUGAGACACGGUCCAGACUCCUACGGGAGGCCGCAGUAGGGACUCGUCCGCACAGGGCGAAAGCCUGCCGGAGCAACGCCGCGUGAGUGAUGAAGGUCUUCGGAUCGUAAAACUCUGUUAUUAUGGAAGAACAAAUGUGUAAGUAACUAUGCAUGUCUUGACGGUACCUAAUCAGAAAGCCCCGGCUAACUACGU